rnacentral:rRNA from 1 species
UACGUAGGUGACAAGCGUUGUCCGGAUUUACUGGGCGUAAAGAGCGCGCAGGCGGUCGUUCAAGUCGAGUGUGAAAGCCCCCGGCUCAACUGGGGAGGGUCAUUCGAUACUUGAUCGACUCGAAGGCAGGAGAGGGUAGUGGAAUUCCCGGUGUAGUGGUGAAAUGCGUAGAUAUCGAGAAGAACACUUAGGGCGUAGGCAAGACUCUGGACAAAUGCUGACGCUCGAUGCACGGAAGGCUAGGGUAGCGAACGGG